CUGUAAGAGAAAGGCAAUGGAGAAAAGGAAGAGAAAAUGGGGUUUGGUUCUUCUUGUUCCAAAGCAAGGAGGAGCUGGAACGGAAAGGCUGCACCUGUCCCACUAAACUUUCACACGGUCACUGCAAUUCCGGUGCAAGAAAUCCCAUUCUUUCCACGAAGAAUGGGAGGAAGACCAGCCCAGUUCAUCGGCAGCAGCCAGUGCCAUGGGGAUGCUGUUCCGAGGACAGGACAGGUCACUGCCAGCUCGGUGUCAUGGUUUGAUCUUUCAGGAAAAUGUAAUAGUUACCUGACAGCAGUGGUUGUCUCCAUCCACCCUCUCAUCCUCAAAACGGAGCUACAAAAAUAGAUUCACUCACAAAUGAAGAGCAAAUAAAGAUGGCUCCCAGCACGUGAAUAGCUGAUGA
rnacentral:lncRNA from 1 species